rfam:Tropilaelaps mercedesae isolate Wuxi-XJTLT scaffold0000011599, whole genome shotgun sequence.
AAGAUCGUACUUCACAGGAUCAUUUCUGUAGUCGAUCUAACGUAUCCGCUUGCCGGAUUCGUGCACCCUGAAACCGCGAUGAUGCGACGAGGGUGUCGACCUGAGCGUGAAUCUGGUCUGGGUUUCUUUCGCAAUGGGAGAGACCCAUUCCUUGAUGAUCGUUCGCUCUUGGAGUCUUCCGAGAGAGAUGGCCGGCACUCAGUCUGAGUGGU